CACACAAUUCCUCUCGCAGGUGGCUCUCUGUUGCCGGCUUCCAUAGGCUAGCCCCCACUCCACCCCAGACUCUAGACCGGACCGCUCCAGAUUUAGCAGUUGAGGCCCUUUAAAAGCCUCACAGCUGCCUCGCUGCGGGCAGCCUUCCUGGGAAAUGUAGUCUCCUGAGUGAAGCUUCGCAGCUUCCCCGGGCUGUUUUGCUACUGGCCAAAAAGGGGCUUUGCUACCACCUUGGAUUACUGUGACAGAGAAACGAAACCUUGUGUGAAAAACGUAUCCAUCGCAUCAGAGUGGGAACCAGGAUCUUAUCCGGCUUACAAUGCUCUUGACUGUAACAUCUGCAAGGGACACACGGGAGCCCUGAAAGGCCUGGUGUCUCUACAGGGAGGAUGACUCUUCAGCCACUGUCCUUUGCUUCUGUCUCCCGGUUUACUUGCGAAUGUUUAUUGUGAUGAGUCUUGUUGAGGCCUCUAGUUUCUGCUACACCAUCAAUAUUGAACUCUUGUGGAGACUCCUCUCAGAUAUUUGGUUGUAGCCCAGAGUCAUGGAGACCCUGCAGGCCUCCAUCAUUGAACAGAGCCAGGAUGAUCCUGUGACCUGACUGGGUGGCAGGUUCGGGACCUGAGUCUGCAGCUGCACAAGCUCCAGGAUGCUGCACAGCACCCUGCACACCUUACUGCGCUAUGACGGCAGGUUAACCCUCUCUCUUCCCUAUCACCACGUCUCCAGUUCUGCCUCCCUCCAUAGAGCACACACCGCUGUUUUCUGUCUUUCCCAUCUCCCCAUCACAUAUGAUCAUCACAGUGGCCUUUUCCCCAAGGAAAUGAA
rnacentral:lncRNA from 1 species